rnacentral:rRNA from 1 species
AUUGAACGCUGGCGGCAGGCCUAACACAUGCAAGUCGAGCGGAUGAAGGGAGCUUGCUCUCUGAUUCAGCGGCGGACGGGUGAGUAAUGCCUAGGAAUCUGCCUGGUAGUGGGGGACAACGUUUCGAAAGGAACGCUAAUACCGCAUACGUCCUACGGGAGAAAGUGGGGGAUCUUCGGACCUCACGCUAUCAGAUGAGCCUAGGUACGAUUAGCUAGUUGGUGAGGUAAAGGCUCACCAAGGCGACGAUCGUUAACUGGUCUGAGAGGAUGAUCAGUCACACUGGAACUGAGACACGGUCCAGACUCCUACGGGAGGCAGCAGUGGGGAAUAUUGGACAAUGGGCGAAAGCCUGAUCCAGCCAUGCCGCGUGUGUGAAGAAGGUCUUCGGAUUGUAAAGCACUUUAAGUUGGGAGGAAGGGCAGUAAGUUAAUACCUUGCUGUUUUGACGUUACCGACAGAAUAAGCACCGGCUAACUUCGUGCCAGCCGCCGCAGUAAUAC